AACGAACGCUGGCGGCAUGCCUAACACAUGCAAGUCGAACGAGACCUUCGGGUCUAGUGGCGCACGGGUGCGUAACGCGUGGGAACCUGCCCUUAGGGUCGGAAUAACUCCCCGAAAGGGGUGCUAAUACCGGAUAAUGUCUUCGGACCAAAGAUUUAUCGCCUUUGGAUGGGCCCGCGUUGGAUUAGCUAGUUGGUAGGGUAAAAGCCUACCAAGGCGACGAUCCAUAGCUGGUCUGUGAGGAUGAUCAGCCACACUGGGACUGGGACACGGCCCAGACUCCUACGGGAUGCAGCAGUGCGUAAUAUUGGACAGUGGGCGAAAGCCUGAUCCAGCGAUGCCGGGAGAGUGAUGAAGGCCUUAGAGUUGUAAAGCUCUUUUACCCGGGCUGAUAAUGACGGUACCGGGAGAAUAAGCUCCGGCUAACUCCGUG
rnacentral:rRNA from 1 species